rnacentral:misc_RNA from 1 species
GUGAAGUUUUACUGCAUGAAAUUUCUCAAUCUUCAACUUUUGAUUGAUACUACCAUAUACCUUUUCAUAUUAUACUGAAGUCUUCUUUUAGAUAAAUGCUACUGUAGCAAAAAAGAAAUUCCAGGAAAUUUUUGUCCAGGAAACUGAAGGAAAAUAUUUUUUGUUAUCAUUUUUCUAUGAUAGAAUUAAUUAAUUCAGUCUCUUGUGCUAAACUUUAUAUUCUAAAUAAUUCAAGAUUUUGAUAUGUUUUUUUAAAUUUAAGCUCUUGGUGGUGAUGCUAUAUUCUAUUACAUUUGAUGAAUUUUGUAUUCCCUAUUCAUUUUCCAGAUUGGAGGUGAGCUCAUGGACUUUAUAA